rnacentral:rRNA from 1 species
GGGUUGUGAGGUUAAGCGACUAAGCGUACACGGUGGAUGCCCUGGCAGUCAGAGGCGAUGAAGGGCGUACUAAUCUGCGAUAAGCGCCGGUAAGGUGAUAUGAACCGUUAUAACCGGCGAUACCCGAAUGGGGAAACCCAGUGUGACUCGUCACACUAUCAUUAACUGAAUCCAUAGGUUAAUGAGGCGAACCGGGGGAACUGAAACAUCUAAGUACCCCGAGGAAAAGAAAUCAACCGAGAUUCCCCCAGUAGCGGCGAGCGAACGGGGAGGAGCCCAGAGCCUGAAUCAGCAUGUGUGUUAGUGGAAGCGUCUGGAAAGGCGCGCGAUACAGGGUGACAGCCCCGUACACAAAAGCGCAUGUGCUGUGAGCUCGAUGAGUAGGGCGGGACACGUGGUAUCCUGUCUGAAUAUGGGGGGACCAUCCUCCAAGGCUAAAUACUCCUGACUGACCGAUAGUGAACCAGUACCGUGAGGGAAAGGCGAAAAGAACCCCGGCGAGGGGAGUGAAAAAGAACCUGAAACCGUGUACGUACAAGCAGUGGGAGCCCCACCACCAAAGCAUUUGCUGUACCGCGUUGACGGAGCGAAGCGACGUCAAACCGAUAAAACAGCAGUGUA